AGGGAAUCUUGCGCAAUGGGCGAAAGCCUGACGCAGCGACGCCGCGUGAGGGACGAAGGCCUUCGGGUCGUAAACCUCUGUCCUUGGGGACGAUGAUGACGGUACCCAAGGAGGAAGCCCCGGCUAACUACGUGCCAGCAGCCGCGGUAAUACGUAGGGGGCGAGCGUUGUCCGGAAUUAUUGGGCGUAAAGGGUGCGUAGGCGGCUUGGCAAGUCCUGUGUGAAAGGUCGCGGCUGAACCGCGGUGGGUCAUGGGAAACUGCUAAGCUUGAGUGCCGGAGAGGAUAGCGGAAUUCCACGUGUAGCGGUGAAAUGCGUAGAUAUGUGGAGGAACACCAGUGGCGAAGGCGGCUAUCUGGAAGGUAACUGACGCUGAGGCACGACAGCUGGGGGAGCAAAC
rnacentral:rRNA from 1 species